UCCAAGCUGUCUUUAUCAAUCCCCACUGAA
rnacentral:piRNA from 1 species